rnacentral:tRNA from 1 species
CGUGCCGGUGCUGGGCGACUUCACCGACGUUCCGCUGGUGGUGGAACAGGUCCGGGCGGACACGGUGGCGGUGCUGGCCUGCCCGGAGCUG